UACAGAGGUCUCGAGCGUUGUUCGGAAUCAUUGGGCGUAAAGCGCGUGUAGGCGGUUAGUUAAGUCGGGUGUGAAAUCCCUGGGCUCAACCGAGGAAGUGCAUCCGAAACUAACUAGCUAGAGAAUGGUAGAGGAAGGUGGAAUUCCGUGUGUAGAGGUGAAAUUCGUAGAUAUACGGAGGAAUACCGGUGGCGAAGGCGGCCUUCUGGACCAUUUCUGACGCUGAGACGCGAAAGCGUGGGGAGCAAACAGG
rnacentral:rRNA from 1 species